GGGUUUGAUCAUGGCUCAGGACGAACGCUGGCGGCGUGCCUAAUACAUGCAAGUCGAGCGGACCGGGCGGAAGCUUGCUUCCGCUUGGUUAGCGGCGGCCGGGUGAGUAACACGUGGGUAACCUGCCCGUAAGACCGGGAAAGCUCCGGGAAACCGGAGCUAAUACCGGAUAACACCGAAGGCCGCAUGGUCUUUGGUUGAAAGGCGGCUUCGGCUGCCACUUGCGGAUGGGCCCGCGGCGCAUUAGCUAGUUGGUGAGGUAACGGCUCAACAAGGCGACGAUGCGUAGCCGGCCUGAGAGGGGGACCGGCCACACUGGGACUGAGACACGGCCCAGACUCCUACGGGAGGCAGCAGUAGGGAAUCUUCCGCAAUGGACGAAGGUCUGACGGAGCGACGCCGCGUGGGCGAAGAAGGUCUUCGGAUCGUAAAGCUCUGUUGUUGGGGAAGAAGAAGUGCCGUUCGAACAGGGCGGCACGGUGACGGUACCUAACGAGAAAGGCCCGGCUAGCUACGUGCCAGCAGCCGCGGUAAUACGUAGGGGGCGAGCGUUGUCCGGAAUUAUUGGGCGCUAAAGCGCGCGCAGGCGGUCCCUUAAGUCUGAUGUGAAAGCCCACGGCUUAACCGUGGAGGGUCAUUGGAAACUGGGGGACUUGAGUGCAGGAGAGGAGGGCGGAAUUCCACGUGUAGCGGUGAAAUGCGUAGAGAUGUGGAGGAACACCAGUGGCGAAGGCGGCUCUCUGGUCUGUAACUGACGCUGAGGCGCGCAAGCGUGGGGAGCAAACAGGAUUAGAUACCCUGGUAGUCCACGCCGUAGACGAUGAGUGCUAAGUGUUAGAGGGGUUAUCCCUUUAGUGCUGUAGCUAACGCGUUAAGCACUCCGCCUGGGGAGUACGGCCGCAAGCUGAAACUAAAAGGAAUCGACGGGGGCGCGCACAAGCGGUGGAGCAUGUGGUUUAAUUCGAAGCAACGCGAAGAACCUUACCACGUCGGGACAUCCCCUGACAACCCUGGAGACAGGGCGUUCCUCCCUUCGGGAGGACAGGGUGGCAGGUGGUGGAUGGUUGGCGUCAGCUCGUGUCGUGGGAUGUUGGGUUAAGUCGCGCAACGAGCGCAACCCUCGCCCCUAGUUGCCAGCAUUCAGUUGGGCACCCUAGGGGGACUGCCGGUGACAAACCGGAGGAAGGUGGGGAUGACGUCAAAUCAUCAUGCCCCUUAUGACCUGGGCUACACACGUGCUACAAUGGGCGGUACAAAGGGCUGCGAACCCGCGAGGGGGGGCGAAUCCCAAAAAGCCGCUCUCAGUUCGGAUUGCAGGCUGCAACUCGCCUGCAUGAAGCCGGAAUCGCUAGUGAUCGCGGAUCGGCAUGCCGCGGUGAAUACGUUCCCGGGCCUUGUACACACCGCCCGUCACACCACGAGAGCUUGCAACACCCGAAGUCGGUGAGGUAACGCGCAAGGGAGCCAGGCGCCGAGGGUGGGGCAAGUGAUUGGGGUGAAGUCGUAACAA
rnacentral:rRNA from 1 species